GUGCCAGUGGCUCAGUGGGUAGGGCACCGGUCUCAUAUACCUAGGGUGGUGGGUUCAAACCCAGCCCUGGCCA
rnacentral:tRNA from 1 species